UCUCUUUCGGUUGACCUCGGAUCAGGUAGGGAUACCCGCUGAACUUAAGCAUAUCAAUAAGCGGAGGA
rnacentral:rRNA from 1 species